rnacentral:rRNA from 1 species
GACGAACGCUGGCGGCGUGCUUAACACAUGCAAGUCGAACGAUCUGCCCCGACGGAAACCUUCGGGUUGAAGACGGGAUCCAGAGAGUGGCGGACGGGUGAGUAACACGUGGAUAACCUAUCCUUGAGACUGGGAUAACCUGGCGAAAGUCGGGCUAAUCCCGGGUAAGCUGAGAGUGUGGCAUCACACAAUCAGAAAAGGUGCUUUUAGCAUCGUUUAAGGAGGGGUCCGCGGUAGAUUAGCUAGCUGGUGAGGUAAAAGCUCACCAGGGCAACAAUCUAUAGCUGGUCUGAGAGGACGAUCAGUCACACUGGAACUGAGACACGGUCCAGACUCCUACGGGAGGCAGCAGUGGGGAAUCUUCCACAAUGGGCGCAAGCCUGAUGGAGCAACGCCGCGUGAGUGAAGAAGGUCUUAGGAUUGUAAAGCUCUGUCCUUAGGGAAGAACCGUGGGUGCAGGUAAUGGCACCCAUCUGACGGUACCUUUGGAGGAAGCACUGGCUAACUACGUGCCAGCAGCCGCGGUAAUACGUAGAGUGCAAGCGUUGUCCGGAAUUAUUGGGCGUAAAGGGUACGCAGGCGGAUAAUCAAGUCAAGCGUGAAAGGUGUCGGCUUAACCGACAGACUGCGUUUGAAACUGAUUAUCUUGAGUGUAACAGAGGAGAGUGGAAUUCCUAGUGUAGUGGUG